rnacentral:rRNA from 1 species
GAUGAACGCUGGCGGCGUGCCUAAUACAUGCAAGUCGAGCGAAUGGAUUAAGAGCUUGCUCUUAUGAAGUUAGCGGCGGACGGGUGAGUAACACGUGGGUAACCUGCCCAUAAGACUGGGAUAACUCCGGGAAACCGGGGCUAAUACCGGAUAACAUUUUGAACCGCAUGGUUCGAAAUUGAAAGGCGGCUUCGGCUGUCACUUAUGGAUGGACCCGCGUCGCAUUAGCUAGUUGGUGAGGUAACGGCUCACCAAGGCAACGAUGCGUAGCCGACCUGAGAGGGGGAUCGGCCACACUGGGACUGAGACACGGCCCAGACUCCGACGGGGGGCAGCAGUAGGGAAUCUUCCGCAAUGGACGAAAGUCUGACGGAGCAACGCCGCGGGAGUGAUGAAGGCUUUCGGAUCGUAAAACUCUGUUGUUAGGGAAGAACAAGUGCUAGUUGAAUAAGCUGGCACCUUGACGGUACCUAACCAGAAAGCCACGGCUAACUACGUGCCAGCCGCCGCAGUAA